rnacentral:rRNA from 1 species
UUGAACCGCUGGCGGCAUGCCUUACACAUGCAAGUCGAACGGCAGCACGGGGGCAACCCUGGUGGCGAGUGGCGAACGGGGUGAGGUAAGUAACAUCGGAACGUGCCCAGUAGUGGGGGAUAGCCCGGCGAAAGCCGGAUUAAUACCGCAUACGACCUACGGGUGAAUGAAGCGGGGGACCGCAAGGCCUCGCGCUAUUGGAGCGGCCGAUGUCGGAUUAGCUAGUUGGGUGGGGUAUAAGGCCUACCAAGGCGACCGAUCCGUAGCUGGUCUGAGAGGACGACCAGCCACACUGGGACUGAGACACGGCCCCAGACUCCUACGGGAGGCAGCAGUGGGGAAUUUUGGACAAUGGGCGAAAGCCUGAUCCAGCCAUGCCGCGUGCGGGAAGAAGGCCUUCGGGUUGUAAACCGCUUUUGUCAGGGAAUGAAAACGGUCUGGGUUAAUACCUCGGACUAAUGACGGUACCUGAAGAAUAAGCACCGGCUAACUACGUGCCAGCAGCCGCGGUAAUACGUAGGGUGCAAGCGUUUAAUCGGAAUUACUGGGCGUAAAGCGUGCGCAGGCGGCUUUGCAAGACAGAUGUGAAAUCCCCGGGCUCAACCUGGGAAUGCAUUUGUGACUGCAUCGCUGGAGUGCGGCAGAGGGGAGACUGGAAUUCCGGGUGUAGCAGUGAAAUGCGUAGAUAUGCAGGAGGAAAUACCGAUGGCGAAGGCAAGGUCCCUGGGCCUGACACUGACGCUCAUGCACGAAAGCGUGGGGAGCAAACAGGAUUAGAUACCCUGGUAGUCCACGCCCUAAACGAUGUCAACUGGUUGUUGGGGCUUUGACACUGCUCAGUAACGAAGCUAACGCGUGAAGUCGAUCGCCUGGGGAGUACGGCCGCAAGGUUGAAAACUCAAGGAAUUGACGGGGACCCGCACAAGCGGUGGAUGAUGUGGAGUUUAAUUCGAUGCAACGCGAAAAACCUUACCUACCCUUGACAUGUCCUGGAAUCCUGCAUGAGAUGCUGGGCGUGCCCGAAAGGGAACCAUGGAACACAGGUGCUGCAUGGCCUGUCGUCAGCUCGUGUCGUGAGAUGUUGGGUUAAGUCCCGCAACGAGCGCAACCCUUGUCAUUAGUUGCCUACCCGCAAGGGGCACUCUAAUGAGACUGCCGGUGACAAAACCGGAGGAAGGUGGGGAUGACGUCAGUCAUCAUGGCCCUUAUGGGUAGGGCUUACACACGUCAUACAAUGGCCGUACAGAGGGUUGCCAACCGAGCGAGCUGGGAGCCAAUCCCAGAAAAGCGCGUCGUAGUCCGGAUUGCAGUCUGCAACUCGACUGCAUGAAGUCGGAAAUCGCUAGUAAUCGCGGAUCAGCUUGCCGCGGUGAAUACGUUCCCGGGUCUUGUACACACCGCCCGUCACACCAUGGGAGUGGGUUCUCAAGUCCAGAAGUCCGUUCGCCUAACCGCAAGGGGGGGCGCCUGACCACGGUGAGGAUUCAGUGACUGGGGUG